GGAGCAAACAGGAUUAGAUACCCUGGUAGUCCACGCCCUAAACUAUGUCAACUAGUUGUCGGGUCUUAUUAGACUUGGUAACGUAGCUAACGCGUGAAGUUGACCGCCUGGGGAGUACGGUCGCAAGAUUAAAACUCAAAGGAAUUGACGGGGACCCGCACAAGCGGUGGAUUAUGUGGAUUAAUUCGAUGCAACGCGAAAAACCUUACCUACCCUUGACAUGUCAGAAAAUUUUCAGAGAUGAAUUUGUGCCCGAAAGGGAAUCUGAACACAGGUGCUGCAUGGCUGUCGUCAGCUCGUGUCGUGAGAUGUUGGGUUAAGUCCCGCAACGAGCGCAACCCUUGUCAUUAAUUGCCAUCAUUUAGUUGGGCACUUUAAUGAGACUGCCGGUGAUAAACCGGAGGAAGGUGGGGAUGACGUCAAGUCCUCAUGGCCCUUAUGGGUAGGGCUUCACACGUAAUACAAUGGCGCGUACAGAGGGUUGCCAACCCGCGAGGGGAGCUAAUCUCAGAAAGCGCGUCGUAGUCCGGAUCGGAGU
rnacentral:rRNA from 1 species